UCUGGGAGAUGAUGUAGACAAAAGGCCGAAUUGUAGCGCCCCCAUCAGGCAGUGUGUUCUCAGUGUGGGGGUGCCCUGACAAAGACCCCUGAAGCGUUUCUGAUCCCAGA
rnacentral:snoRNA from 12 species